rnacentral:rRNA from 1 species
GAUGAACGCUAGCGAUAGGCCUAACACAUGCAAGUCGAGGGGCAUCACAUGAAGUAGCAAUACGGAUGGUGGCGACCGGCGCACGGGUGAGUAACACGUAUGCAACCUGCCUUCAACAAGGGGAUAACCCGUUGAAAGACGGACUAAUACCCUAUAACACAGGGGUCCCGCAUGGGAAUAUUUGUUAAAGGACAACCGGUUGAAGAUGGGCAUGCGUUCCAUUAGCUAGUUGGCGGGGUAACGGCCCACCAAGGCAACGAUGGAUAGGGGAACUGAGAGGUUUAUCCCCCACACUGGUACUGAGACACGGACCAGACUCCUACGGGAGGCAGCAGUGAGGAAUAUUGGUCAAUGGACGCAAGUCUGAACCAGCCACGUCGCGUGAAGGAAGACGGCCCUACGGGUUGUAAACUUCUUUUAUACGGGAAUAAAGUGCCCCACGCGUGGGGUUUUGCAUGUACCGUAUGAAUAAGAUCGGCUAACUCCGUGCCAGCAGCCG